GAUGAACGCUGGCGGCGUGCCUAAUACAUGCAAGUCGAGCGGUAAGGCUCUCACUCUGUAUUUAAAUAUUUUGAAUAUAGUGUGAGAGUACACGAGCGGCGGACGGCUGAGUAACACGUAGGAACGUACCCCAAAGUGAGGGAUAAGCACCGGAAACGGUGUCUAAUACCGCAUGUGCUCUUCGGAGGAAAGCUUCGGCGCUUUGGGAACGGCCUGCGCAUGAUUAGCUUGUUGGUGAGGUAAAAGCUCACCAAGGCUAUGAUCAUUAGCUGGUCUGAGAGGAUGACCAGCCAGACUGGGACUGAGAACGGCCCAGACACCUACGGGUGGCUG
rnacentral:rRNA from 1 species